rnacentral:rRNA from 1 species
GUGUCAGCCGCCGCGGUAAUACGGAGGGUGCAAGCGUUACUCGGAAUCACUGGGCGUAAAGGACGCGUAGGCUGGAUGCCAAGUCUGAUGUGAAAUCCUAUGGCUUAACCAUAGAACUGCAUUGGAAACUGGUAACCUAGAGUAUGGGAGGGGGAGAUGGAAUUAGUGGUGUAGGGGUAAAAUCCGUAGAUAUCACUAGGAAUACCGAAAGCGAAGGCGAUCUCCUGGAACAUAACUGACGCUGAGGCGUGAAAGCGUGGGGAGCAAACGGGAUUAGAUACCCCCGUAGUCCAUGGCCUA